ensembl:lncRNA
GAAAUCUCAAGGAGGAGGGGUGUGUCUGUAUAUAAAUCAGAAAUGGUGUAAAAACGUGACCGUUCGUAGACAAGUGUGUCUGCCUGACAUUGAGCUCCUCUCUGUGUCUUUGAGGCCGUUUUAUCUGCCGAGGGAAUUCCCACAGAUCAACGUCACCGUCGUUUACAUCCAUCCUAAAGCGAAUCCUAAGAAUGCGACUGACACCAUCUCCAACGUCAUCCACUCACUACAAUCUCUCUCCCCUGAGGCUCCUAAUAUUGUUCUUGGGGACUUUAAUCGCUGCGACUUGAAGAAAACACUGAGCAGUUUUUAUCAGUAUGUGAACUGUUCCACACGCUUCAAUAAGACUCUGGAUUUGUGUUACGGUUCCAUAAAAGGUGCGUAUACAUCUGUGGCUGGCCCCGCCCUCGGAUCCUCGGAUCACAACACGGUGCAUCUUCUGCCAGUUUACAAGACUGUGCUGAGAAGAGAGAAAGUGAGGAAACACCGCAUAAAGGAGCUUAAUGAUGAGGGUGAAGAUGGAGUGAACUAUGAAAACAUUGGAGACUCUUCUGCUUCUGUCAGACUCCACUGUGUGUGUGUGUGUGUGUGUGUGUGUGUGUGGCUGGGUCUAAGUCUGAGACUUGCUGAGCUCUGUGGGACAUUGUUAUGAUGGGUGAGGGUUGCUCCUCCCCACCACUCCCUGCUGGUCACUGUCCUUGAGAACUUUUAGGAACUCUUUCUGGGGCCUCCCUCCUCCUUCUGCACAUGGUUGUCAUCUGGACGUGUGGGCUUGGGUCUCAAGUACUCCUGGGGUGCUUUGGAUGGCCCUGCUGAACUGGAUUGUUCCUUGUCUACUUCUGGGUCCAGGGGUGUUGUUGUGGCCUCGGACCCUCAUUAUUAAGUCCGUUUUGUGACACACACACACACACACACACACACACACACACACACACACACACACACACACACACACUUAUAGCAAAAUUGACCAUGUACAUGUGUGUCUUUGUAUUUUCCUGAUGUGCUGUUUGCUUUUUAUAUAUUUUCUUACAAUUUUCUUACAGGUGCAACAGUUGGUGAUCUGCUGAGUUUAACUAUGACUGCUUCGUACUUUUAUUUGUCUCUUUUCUAAGAUUUUCUCUGCUUUUUAUUUUUUGUGUCACUCUCUUUUCCCCUGUCUUCUCUUUACCCCUUCUUACUUUUCAUUGCCUGUCAGCUCUUGUAUUGCUAAAUUACACAUAAACAAAGUGAAUACGAAUGAAAAUAAAUAAAAGAAAAAAAGAAAGAAAAACUAAGAAUGCAAGGCUACAGACAUUUCAUAUUGCUCCUUUGGGCAAAACAAAUGAGUUUGGCUCAACAGAGCAUUCAGAUCAUGUUUCUCCUGUCAGAAAAGAGGUUUCAAAAAAGGAACAAAAAAAAAGUUUUGAUUUUAUCUCAUGUUUAGCUAAAACCUUUUUCAUGUGCAGUUAGAUUUGUUUUUAGAUAAAUCUAACUUAAAACAAUAUUUUAUCCUUCAUUUAGUUAUGAUAAACAGGAUCUUUUGUUGUGUAAAUCUGCAGCUGCUGAUGUUUACUGAAGGUAAAACAGUGAGAUCAGAAUCACAGGUUUUUUUAUU